rnacentral:misc_RNA from 1 species
GAUGAAGAACGUAGCAAAAUGCGAUACUUGGUGUGAAUUGCAGAAUCCCGUGAACCAUCGAGUUUUUGAACGCAAGUUGCGCCCGAAGCCUUUUGGCCGAGGGCACGUCUGCCUGGGCGUCACGCAUCGCGUCGCCCCCCACAAUUCUCCGUAAAGGGAACAUGUGUUUUGGGGGCGGAUAUUGGUCUCCCGUGCUCAUGGCGUGGUUGGCCGAAAUAGGAGUCCUUUCGAUGGACGCACGAACUAGUGGUGGUCGUAAAAACCCUCGUCUUUUGUUUCGUGCUGUUGCUCGCAAGGUAAACUCUUUAAAAACCCCAAGGUGUCGUCUCUUGACGACGCUUCGACCGCGACCCCAGGUCAGGCGGGACUACCCGCUGAGUUUAAGCAUAUCAAUAAGCGGAGGA